AUCUGGAGCCCGCACGGAGAAUGUGACGUGAUGUCCUAUGGAAUGCCCUAUUGUGUUACACAUGUGGAGUGUGCUAGCUUAUGUUAUAGGUGGAGGAACGGCCAUGUCUUUCCACAUGGCAUACAGUCAUGCCCUUGUGUACUAUCAGGCGAUCAGCCAGUAGUUUGCCUUAGGAGGUACCAAGGCUGUCUAGCACCUAUAGCGGGGAGCCAUAUGGUUCUAGUAUAAUACAGAACCAUCUGAGUUAUGAUCCCAUGUGUUUAGUACGUAUUGAGUACCCCUUGGUCUGUAUUGCUUGGGUGGUAAAGAGGGCCCUUUUGGAACUAUGAGGUAAGGGUUUGCCUUUGUCGCUGCAGGCCAUGUAGUGUAUGUAGACUGUGCAGUGCAGUUUAGGUCCGUCUGGGUGCUAAGUAAGCAUGCUUCACGUCUUAAGCGGACUUUUGGUUCAGGUAAUGCUAAGUCAUAUUACUUGUAUGGUAGGGACCCAUAGGAUCAGGCUAAGCUAUGCAGCGAGGGUUAAUGGCAUGGUAUGCUCAGGGUGUUGGAACAAGG